GGAAGAAGCAGGGGGACGUUUAUUUGCUUUCUCUGGAGCUACUGAGGUAAGAAAAAGGAAAGGCCCAUAAAGGGACUGCAAUAAGUCUGCUGGAGAUGUCUUUGCAGCCUCUUUCUCCUCCCCAGACUGGAAUGUGCUUAAGCUCCUUUGGUCUGCUUAUUUCUUUUCUCUGGCAGCCCUUGGGGCAGAGUUUAUCAGCUGUGUCCCUUCCCCUGAACCCCAUUUUGAAGUGGCAUCAAGACUUUACAAGCUGAUGUAAUUCAACAGCUGCAUGGACCGGCAGGGUGAUUUUAAAAGAUGUAUUACCCA